rnacentral:rRNA from 1 species
AACAUUGCUCACAGAACAUUUACUGUUGAGUAAGACUGCCCUAUGAAGGAUUAAAUGGCCGCGGUACCCUGACCGUGCAAAGGUAGCAUAAUCACCCGCCUCUUAAUUAGAGGAUUGUAUGAACGUUUCUACAUGAUAGCAACUGUCUUUUUUUAUCUAUUAAAAUUUAUCUUAAGGUGAAAAAGCCUUAAUUCUCUAAAAAGACAAACAGUCCCUGGAAGCUUGCCUACGCCUCUCUCUAUAAGAUAAGUACAGUUUAGCCGGGGCGGUAUAAUACCAUAUUUAAUAUUAAACUUACGACUCCUAUGUCUUAUGAAUUAGCCCCCAUCUAUUCAAACAAGCUACUCCAGGGCUAACAGGCUUAUAGCUUCUUAAAAGUACGCAUUAACAGAAGUGUUUGGCACCUCGAUGUUGGCUUAGGGAUCUUUUCACCUGCAGAAGGGUGAAAAAGGGGUUUGUUCAACCUUUAAUUCCCUACAUGAUCUG